rnacentral:rRNA from 1 species
UGCUAUACAUGCAGUAGAACGCUGAAGAGAGGAGCUUGCUCUUCUUGGAUGAGUUGCGAACGGGUGAGUAACGCGUAGGUAACCUGCCUUGUAGCGGGGGAUAACUAUUGGAAACGAUAGCUAAUACCGCAUAACAAUGGAUGACACAUGUCAUUUAUUUGAAAGGGGCAAUUGCUCCACUACAAGAUGGACCUGCGUUGUAUUAGCUAGUAGGUGAGGUAAUGGCUCACCUAGGCGACGAUACAUAGCCGACCUGAGAGGGUGAUCGGCCACACUGGGACUGAGACACGGCCCAGACUCCUACGGGAGGCAGCAGUAGGGAAUCUUCGGCAAUGGGGGCAACCCUGACCGAGCAACGCCGCGUGAGUGAAGAAGGUUUUCGGAUCGUAAAGCUCUGUUGUAAGUCAAGAACGGGUGUGAGAGUGGAAAGUUCACACUGUGACGGUAGCUUACCAGAAAGGGACGGCUAACUACGUGCCAGCAGCCGCGGUAAUACGUAGGUCCCGAGCGUUGUCCGGAUUUAUUGGGCGUAAAGCGAGCGCAGGCGGUUUGAUAAGUCUGAAGUUAAAGGGCUGUGGCUCAACCAUAGUUCGCUUUGGAAACUGUCAAACUUGAGUGCAGAAGGGGAGAGUGGAAUUCCAUGUGUAGCGGUGAAAUGCGUAGAUAUAUGGAGGAACACCGGUGGCGAAAGCGGCUCUCUGGUCUGUAACUGACGCUGAGGCUCGAAAGCGUGGGGAGCGAACAGGAUUAGAUACCCUGGUAGUCCACGCCGUAAACGAUGAGUGCUAGGUGUUGGAUCCUUUCCGGGAUUCAGUGCCGCAGCUAACGCAUUAAGCACUCCGCCUGGGGAGUACGACCGCAAGGUUGAAACUCAAAGGAAUUGACGGGGGCCCGCACAAGCGGUGGAGCAUGUGGUUUAAUUCGAAGCAACGCGAAGAACCUUACCAGGUCUUGACAUCCCGAUGCUAUUUCUAGAGAUAGAAAGUUACUUCGGUACAUCGGUGACAGGUGGUGCAUGGUUGUCGUCAGCUCGUGUCGUGAGAUGUUGGGUUAAGUCCCGCAACGAGCGCAACCCCUAUUGUUAGUUGCCAUCAUUCAGUUGGGCACUCUAGCGAGACUGCCGGUAAUAAACCGGAGGAAGGUGGGGAUGACGUCAAAUCAUCAUGCCCCUUAUGACCUGGGCUACACACGUGCUACAAUGGUUGGUACAACGAGUUGCGAGUCGGUGACGGCGAGCUAAUCUCUUAAAGCCAAUCUCAGUUCGGAUUGUAGGCUGCAACUCGCCUACAUGAAGUCGGAAUCGCUAGUAAUCGCGGAUCAGCACGCCGCGGUGAAUACGUUCCCGGGCCUUGUACACACCGCCCGUCACACCACGAGAGUUUGUAACA